UCUUCUGAAUGAAAAGAUGAAGUGGUUUCUUGAGAUGAAAUUUUCUCCUGGUGAAGAUGCUAUGGA
rnacentral:pre_miRNA from 1 species